AGAAUCAACGCUGGCGGCGUGCCUAACACAUGCAAGUCGAACGAGAAAGUGGAGCAAUCCAUGAGUAAAGUGGCGACCGGGUGAGUAACACGUGACUAACCUACCUUCGAGUGGGGGAUAACCUCGGGAAACCGAGGCUAAUACCGCAUAACAUCGCAAGAUCAAAGGCAGCAAUGCGCUGGAAGAGGGGGUCGCGGCUGAUUAGCUAGUUGGCGGGUAACGGCCCACAAGGCGAAGAUCGGUA
rnacentral:rRNA from 1 species